UACGAAGGGGGCUAGCGUUGCUCGGAAUCACUGGGCGUAAAGGGUGCGUAGGCGGGUCUUUAAGUCAGGGGUGAAAUCCUGGAGCUCAACUCCAGAACUGCCUUGAUACUGAAGAUCUUGAGUUCGGGAGAGGUGAGUGGAACUGCGAGUGUAGAGGUGAAAUUCGUAGAUAUUCGCAAGAACACCAGUGGCGAAGGCGGCUCACUGGCCCGAUACUGACGCUGAGGCACGAAAGCGUGGGGAGCAACAGGG
rnacentral:rRNA from 1 species